rnacentral:misc_RNA from 1 species
GAUGAAGAACGCAGUGAAAUGCGAUAAGUAAUGUGAAUUGCAGAAUUCAGUGAAUCAUCGAAUCUUUGAACGCACAUUGCGCCCCCUGGUAUUCCGGGGGGCAUGCCUGUUCGAGCGUCAUUUCACCACUCAAGCCUCGCUUGGUAUUGGGCAACGCGGUCCGCCGCGUGCCUCAAAUCGACCGGCUGGGUCUUCUGUCCCCUAAGCGUUGUGGAAACUAUUCGCUAAAGGGUGCUCGGGAGGCUACGCCGUAAAACAAACCCAUUUCUAAGGUUGACCUCGGAUCAGGUAGGGAUACCCGCUGAACUUAAGCAUAUCAAUAAGCGGAGGA